UACGAAGGGGGCUAGCGUUGCUCGGAAUUACUGGGCGUAAAGCGCACGUAGGCGGUCUUUUAAGUCGGGGGUGAAAUCCUGGAGCUCAACUCCAGAACUGCCUUCGAUACUGGAAGACUCGAGUCCGGGAGAGGUGAGUGGAACUGCGAGUGUAGAGGUGAAAUGCGUAGAUAUCAGGAGGAACACCGGUGGCGAAGGCGGCUACCUGGACAGAGUCUGACGCUGAGGCACGAAAGCUAGGGGAGCAAACAGG
rnacentral:rRNA from 1 species